rnacentral:rRNA from 1 species
CCUACGGGUGGCAGCAGUGGGGAAUAUUGCACAAUGGGGGAAACCCUGAUGCAGCGACGCCGCGUGAGUGAAGAAGUAAUUCGUUAUGUAAAGCUCUAUCAGUAGGGAAGUAAAUGACGGUACGUGAGUAAGAAGCCCCGGCUAACUACGUGCCAGCAGCCGCGGUAAUACGUAGGGGGCAAGCGUUAUCCGGAUUUACUGGGGGUAAAGGGAGCGUAGACGGCUGCGCAAGUCAGAAGUGAAAGCCCGGGGCUCAACCGCGGGAUUGCUUUUGAAACUGUGUAGCUAGAGUGCAGGAGAGGUAAGUGGAAUUCCUGGUGUAGCGGUGAAAUGCGUAGAUAUUAGGAAGAACACCGAUGGCGAAGGCGGCUUACUGGACUGUAACUGACGUUGAGGCUCGAAAGCGUGGGGAGCAAACAGGAUUAGAUACCCGUGUAGUC